AAGUCGUAACAAGGUUUCCGUAGGUGAACCUGCGGAAGGAUCAUUACCGAGAGUUGUAGGCUUCUGUCUACCAUCUCUUACCCAUGUCUUUUGCGUACUUAACGUUUCCUCGGCAGGUCCGCCUGCCGUAGGACAAUUAUAAACCAUUUGCAGUUGCAGUCAGCGUCUGAAAAACAUAAUAAUUACAACUUUUAACAACGGAUCUCUUGGUUCUG
rnacentral:misc_RNA from 1 species